GCAACUAGCACUAUAUGCAAGCACACGUGCUGUCAUAGAGCAAUGAAGCAUCGCUGAGAUAGAAGCAAAGAAUGGGGAAAAAUAAAGGGAAAUCGCAGCAGAAAGGAAAAGACAGUGUCCUGUUCAAAACUGUUGGAACUAAAAUAACUAAAAACAAAAAAACGAAACCAGUCAACAUAAACCUUAAAAAGCUAAAACACCUAACGAAAUCCAAGACCGAAGAGGUUGACCAAACCUGGAAAGAUGUACGAGAAAUACCGAAGUCGAGCUCGUCGUCUACGACACAAAAGAAGGACGGCAAA